rnacentral:rRNA from 1 species
UGCAAGUCGAACGGCAGCACGGGAGCAAUCCUGGUGGCGAGUGGCGAACGGGUGAGUAAUACAUCGGAACGUGCCCAAUCGUGGGGGAUAACGCAGCGAAAGCUGUGCUAAUACCGCAUAAGAUCUACGGAUGAAAGCAGGGGAUCGCAAGACCUUGCGCGAAUGGAGCGGCCGAUGGCAGAUUAGGUAGUUGGUGAGGUAAAGGCUCACCAAGCCUUCGAUCUGUAGCUGGUCUGAGAGGACGACCAGCCACACUGGGACUGAGACACGGCCCAGACUCCUACGGGAGGCAGCAGUGGGGAAUUUUGGACAAUGGGCGAAAGCCUGAUCCAGCCAUGCCGCGUGCAGGAUGAAGGCCUUCGGGUUGUAAACUGCUUUUGUACGGAACGAAAAGUCUCUUUCUAAUAAAGAGGGAUCAUGACGGUACCGUAAGAAUAAGCACCGGCUAACUACGUGCCAGCAGCCGCGGUAAUACGUAGGGUGCAAGCGUUAAUCGGAAUUACUGGGCGUAAAGCGUGCGCAGGCGGUUAUAUAAGACAGUUGUGAAAUCCCCGGGCUCAACCUGGGAACUGCAUCUGUGACUGUAUAGCUAGAGUACGGUAGAGGGGGAUGGAAUUCCGCGUGUAGCAGUGAAAUGCGUAGAUAUGCGGAGGAACACCGAUGGCGAAGGCAAUCCCCUGGACCUGUACUGACGCUCAUGCACGAAAG